UACGGGGGGUGCGAGCGUUGUCCGGAAUCACUGGGCGUAAAGAGCGCGCAGGCGGUCGUACAAGUCGCGUGUGAAAGCCCCCGGCUCAACUGGGGAGGGUCACGCGAUACUGUUCGACUCGAAGGCAGGAGAGGGAAGCGGAAUUCCCGGUGUAGUGGUGAAAUGCGUAGAUAUCGGGAGGAACACCAGUGGCGAAGGCGGCUUCCUGGCCUGUUCUUGACGCUGAGGCGCGAAAGCUAGGGUAGCAAACGGG
rnacentral:rRNA from 1 species